ACAUACGUGUGUGUGUGUGUGUGUGCGUGCGUGACAAUCCGGAGCAUCUUAAGCAAUAGCAGUGUUUCAUGGUCUUUAAAGAUCUGCUGGAGUCUGCGGCCACGCGAUAGCUACGGGACGCAGUUUCGACGGACGCCGACGCCGCACCGGAGGAUCCGGUUCGGGCCGAGCAGAGUCGGCUUGAAGAUCCGCAGCAGAACGCGGCUGACUCU